rnacentral:tRNA from 1 species
GGAUCUGGGGAUCUGGGGAUUGCCCGGGCUUUCGGGGCCCGGGCAAUCGCGGUGCUACGCGGGUUCGGGCUCCGGCAGGGGCUC